GCAAAACAUUUUAGCCUCUUUUUUUUUUUUUUUUUUUUUGGGGCAAAUAAUUUCCACCUUGGCUGCUGAUUUUUAGAGAACAGCUCAGGUCUUUUUUGGGAUGUGGUGGAAUGGGAGAGUUGUUCUAACUCUUGUUGGCCCCUGAAAGACUUCAGACUUGCUUAUUUUAUAUUGUUCUCCAUUUUAUGCUCUAUAAAGAUUACUGUGUCUUAGAUUUUCUUUUUAAGAAUGUUAUCCGCCAUUGCUGUUGGAAUGAAGUAUAGUAGGAUGAGGAGGCUCAGAGUGGACUUCAAGCUUCAAGAUGCUCUUUUGCUUUUCCCCAAACUUAAAAAAAACAAACUUAAAAAAAUAAUCAUUGUAAUUUAAAGUGUUUGUGUGCUUGAGUGUGUGCUUAUGUAGUAAAUGAAUGCAGGCACCCACAGAAGUUAGAGGAGGGCAUCGGAUCCCCCAGAACUGGAGGUAUAGGUCACUACGAGCUUCAGUGUGAGUUCAGGGAGCUGAACCUGAGUCUUUUGUGAAUGUGAUGUGUGCUUUUAACUGCUGAGCCAUCUCCCCCUGCCCCACCUUGAUUCCUGUUUUUUUUAUUAAGAUAUGUAACCUGAAGUCUAUAGUCAGGCAAGACCCCCAGUGGAGGGAUAAGGACACCAACCACCCACAAAUGUGUUGACUCAAAAUAUGUCUUGUCUACAAGAAGUGCAGGGGCAAAGAUGGAGCAGAGACUGAAGGAAUGGCCAACCAAUAACUGGGCCAACUUGAGACCUAUCUCAUAGGCAAGCACCAAUCCCUGGCAUUAUUGAUACUCUGUUAAACUUACAGACAGGAACCCAGAGUAACUGCUCUCUAAGAGUCUCUACCCAGAAGAAGCAGAUGUGACUGAAACAGAUGCAUACACCCACUGCCAAACAUUAGAAGGUGGUUUCAGACCUUUAUGGAAAAAUUUGGGGGAGAAUUGAAGACCCUGAAGGAGAUAGGAACUCCACAGAAAGACCAUCAGAGGCAACUAACCUGGAACUUUGGGUGCUCUUAGAGACUGAGCCACCAAACAAAGAACAUACAUGAGCUGGACCGAGGCCUCUAGCACAUUUGUAGCAGAGGGCUGCCUUUUCCUGCUUUAGUGGGAGAGGAUGUGCCUAAUUCUGAAGAGACUUCCUCCACCAGGGUGGAUAGAGUAGAGAUUGUUGAGAUGACUUAGAGAAUAUGUAGACCUCUUUUUCAAAUGGCAAUAGGAUAAGCAAUAUAAAUCUGAGAUAGCCUGGUGUUUGGUAAUGAGGAGUCACUGGACUCCUGAAUGUCUUAGUUGGUACUAGAGUAUACAGGAGGUGGGAUUUGAUUGAAUGGAGGUAUUGCACCUACUCUGUUUUUAUGAGGCUAUCACCUUACAUUGAGGAGAGAUUGUCCAAUGAUGUAUGUGCAUUUCAAUUAUCCAUGUUCCUUUAAGUAAUCAUUCAUUCAUACUUCUACAACUGACUCAAUAAACUUAUUGGCCUGUC
rnacentral:lncRNA from 1 species